rnacentral:rRNA from 1 species
CCUACGGGAGGCAGCAGUGAGGAAUAUUGGUCAAUGGGCGCGAGCCUGAACCAGCCAAGUCGCGUGAGGGAAGACGGUCCUAUGGUUUGUAAACCUCUUUUGUCGGGGAGCAAAAGACGCCACGCGUGGCGUUCCGAGAUUACCCGAAGUAAAAGCAACGGCGAAAUCCGUGCCAGCAGCCGCGGUAAUACGGAGGAUGCGAGCGUUAUCUGGAUUUAUUGGGUUUAAAGGGUGCGCAGGCGGAAGAUCAAGUCAGCGGUAAAAUUGAGAGGCUCAACCUCUUCGAGCCGUUGAAACGGGUUAUCGUGAGUGGGCGAGAGGUAUGCGGAAUGCGUGGUGUAGCGGUGAAAUGCAUAGAUAUCACGCAGAACUCCGAUUGCGAAGGCAGCAUACCGGCGCCCAACUGACGCUGAAGCACGAAAGCGUGGGUAUCGAACAGGAUUAGAUACCCCUGUAGUC